rnacentral:rRNA from 2 species
UUAAGCGACUAAGCGUACACGGUGGAUGCCCUGGCAGUCAGAGGCGAUGAAGGACGUGCUAAUCUGCGAAAAGCGUCGGUAAGGUGAUAUGAACCGUUAUAGCCGGCGAUGUCCGAAUGGGGAAACCCAGUGCAAUUCGUUGCACUAUCGUUAACUGAAUACAUAGGUUAACGAGGCGAACCGGGGGAACUGAAACAUCUAAGUACCCCGAGGAAAAGAAAUCAACCGAGAUUCCCCCAGUAGCGGCGAGCGAACGGGGAGCAGCCCAGAGUCUGAAUCAGCUUGUGUGUUAGUGGAACGGUCUGGAAAGUCCGACGGUACAGGGUGAUAGUCCCGUACACCAAAAUGCACAGGCUGUGAACUCGAAGAGUAGGGCGGGACACGUGGUAUCCUGUCUGAAUAUGGGGGGACCAUCCUCCAAGGCUAAAUACUCCUGACUGACCGAUAGUGAACCAGUACCGUGAGGGAAAGGCGAAAAGAACCCCGGCGAGGGGAGUGAAAAAGAACCUGAAACCGUGUACGUACAAGCAGUGGGAGCACCUUCGGGUGUGACUGCGUACCUUUUGUAUAAUGGGUCAGCGACUUAUAUUCUGUAGCAAGGUUAACCGUAUAGGGGAGCCGCAGGGAAACCGAGUCUUAACUGGGCGUUAAGUUGCAGGGUAUAGACCCGAAACCCGGUGAUCUAGCCAUGGGCAGGUUGAAGGUUGGGUAACACUAACUGGAGGACCGAACCGACUAAUGUUGAAAAAUUAGCGGAUGACUUGUGGCUGGGGGUGAAAGGCCAAUCAAACCGGGAGAUAGCUGGUUCUCCCCGAAAGCUAUUUAGGUAGCGCCUCGUGAACUCAUCUUCGGGGGUAGAGCACUGUUUCGGCUAGGGGGUCAUCCCGACUUACCAACCCGAUGCAAACUACGAAUACCGAAGAAUGUUAUCACGGGAGACACACGGCGGGUGCUAACGUCCGUCGUGAAGAGGGAAACAACCCAGACCGCCAGCUAAGGUCCCAAAGUCAUGGUUAAGUGGGAAACGAUGUGGGAAGGCACAGACAGCCAGGAUGUUGGCUUAGAAGCAGCCAUCAUUUAAAGAAAGCGUAAUAGCUCACUGGUCGAGUCGGCCUGCGCGGAAGAUGUAACGGGGCUAAACCAUGCACCGAAGCUGCGGCAGCGACACUAUGUGUUGUUGGGUAGGGGAGCGUUCUGUAAGCCUGCGAAGGUGUGCUGUGAGGCAUGCUGGAGGUAUCAGAAGUGCGAAUGCUGACAUAAGUAACGAUAAAGCGGGUGAAAAGCCCGCUCGCCGGAAGACCAAGGGUUCCUGUCCAACGUUAAUCGGGGCAGGGUGAGUCGACCCCUAAGGCGAGGCCGAAAGGCGUAGUCGAUGGGAAACAGGUUAAUAUUCCUGUACUUGGUGUUACUGCGAAGGGGGGACGGAGAAGGCUAUGUUAGCCGGGCGACGGUUGUCCCGGUUUAAGCAUGUAGGCUGAUUGUCCAGGCAAAUCCGGAUAAUCAAGGCUGAGGUGUGAUGACGAGGCACUACGGUGCUGAAGUAACAAAUGCCCUGCUUCCAGGAAAAGCCUCUAAGCAUCAGGUAACAUCAAAUCGUACCCCAAACCGACACAGGUGGUCAGGUAGAGAAUACCAAGGCGCUUGAGAGAACUCGGGUGAAGGAACUAGGCAAAAUGGUGCCGUAACUUCGGGAGAAGGCACGCUGGUGUGUAGGUGAAGUCCCUGCGGAUGGAGCUGAGACCAGUCGAAGAUACCAGCUGGCUGCAACUGUUUAUUAAAAACACAGCACUGUGCAAACACGAAAGUGGACGUAUACGGUGUGACGCCUGCCCGGUGCCGGAAGGUUAAUUGAUGGGGUUAUCCGUAAGGAGAAGCUCUUGAUCGAAGCCCCGGUAAACGGCGGCCGUAACUAUAACGGUCCUAAGGUAGCGAAAUUCCUUGUCGGGUAAGUUCCGACCUGCACGAAUGGCGUAAUGAUGGCCAGGCUGUCUCCACCCGAGACUCAGUGAAAUUGAACUCGCUGUGAAGAUGCAGUGUACCCGCGGCAAGACGGAAAGACCCCGUGAACCUUUACUAUAGCUUGACACUGAACAUUGAGCCUUGAUGUGUAGGAUAGGUGGGAGGCUUUGAAGCGUGGACGCCAGUCUGCGUGGAGCCAACCUUGAAAUACCACCCUUUAAUGUUUGAUGUUCUAACGUUGGCCCCUGACCGGGGUUGCGGACAGUGUCUGGUGGGUAGUUUGACUGGGGCGGUCUCCUCCCAAAGCGUAACGGAGGAGCACGAAGGUUAGCUAAUCCUGGUCGGACAUCAGGAGGUUAGUGCAAUGGCAUAAGCUAGCUUGACUGCGAGCGUGACGGCGCGAGCAGGUGCGAAAGCAGGUCAUAGUGAUCCGGUGGUUCUGAAUGGAAGGGCCAUCGCUCAACGGAUAAAAGGUACUCCGGGGAUAACAGGCUGAUACCGCCCAAGAGUUCAUAUCGACGGCGGUGUUUGGCACCUCGAUGUCGGCUCAUCACAUCCUGGGGCUGAAGUAGGUCCCAAGGGUAUGGCUGUUCGCCAUUUAAAGUGGUACGCGAGCUGGGUUUAGAACGUCGUGAGACAGUUCGGUCCCUAUCUGCCGUGGGCGCUGGAGAAUUGAGGGGGGCUGCUCCUAGUACGAGAGGACCGGAGUGGACGCAUCACUGGUGUUCGGGUUGUCAUGCCAAUGGCACUGCCCGGUAGCUAAAUGCGGAAGAGAUAAGUGCUGAAAGCAUCUAAGCACGAAACUUGCCCCGAGAUGAGUUCUCCCUGAGACUUUAAGUCUCCUGAAGGAACGUUGAAGACGACGACGUUGAUAGGCCGGGUGUGUAAGCGCAGCGAUGCGUUGAGCUAACCGGUACUAAUGAACCGUGAGGCUUAACCUU